AACGAACGCUGGCGGCAGGCCUAACACAUGCAAGUCGAGCGGCCGCUCCGUGGUGACCUGCGGACGGGUGAGUAACGCGGGGGAACGUGCCCUUUUCUAUCGAAUACUACCGUUUAAUUGAGAGUAAUAUAGGAUACGCUCUUUGGGUACAAGAUUUAUCGGAAAAGGAUCGGCAGGCGAUGGUUUAGGUUGUUGGGGGUGUAAUGGCCUACCAAGGCUUGGAUCCAUAGCUGGUUUGAGAGGAAGAUCAGCCACACUGGGGCUGAGACGCGGGCCAGAAUAUUAGGCGAGGGAGCAGUGGGUGAUCUUAGCAAAUGGGGUCGACGCUGAUCGCGCCAUGCCGCGUGAGUGAUGAAGGCCUUAGAGUUGUGCAGCACUUUCAGAUGCGACGAUAAUGACGGUACCCGCAGAAUAAGCACCGGCUAACUUCGUG
rnacentral:rRNA from 1 species